AAUUCUGUCAUUGGCUAUUGUUUGUUAUUUGUUUUUAAAAUAAACACCACAGGCAUUUAGUGGCAUUUGUUCUGUUCUACAUGCAUUACGCUGAGGUAGUCGUCUAUUUAUAGAGAAAUUUCGUGUUUCCAUUUUUCGAUUCUGGUAACAUAUUCUCCAGCUUUUGCAUUCUGCCACUACAGCUAGUGUCGCAUUCUCAUGCAGUUUCCAGUACCUAUGCGGCUCAAGACAGGUUUUAUUUCCUUGGACAGACUUGGUAGUGUGGUUUAUGAUCAUUGCUCUAUCCGUGUUUCCUUUGUGUGCCUCACAUCGCUGAUGUUGAGUACAAUUUUUGUAGGUGUGUUUGUUUUGAUCUCUUGUCUGCAGGAUGGAAGUUUUUUGUUUAUUUUCUUGCUCACUUAAUUGGGGAGUGGAACAAUUUUCAAACUUCAGAACAAAAACCUUUCAUUGCUUAAGUGCACUAGAUAUUUUUUUAACAAUAGUGGGUUUACACAAUUGCACGACAUACGUCACAGCAACAGGAGCUCAGCAAUCACGUAAUUCGCCAACACUGUGACAUCAUUGUCGUUUCUGCACUGCCUCCUGAGCACAGUUCCGAGAAUUUUUACACCACUUCCGCUCUCAAUUCCACUCCCGUGCCGUAACUAAAAGUCAUUUUCUUUGGACCCGCUACAAACUUUCCAAGGUCUAGCCAUACAACGUGCAAGUUCGUCUGCUCGGAUGGUCGUGUGCAUGCUCCGGAAAAAGUGGGGUUUCUGUUACAUCCACCCUCAGAGUGAGAACGGUGCGGCAACAUCGAAGAAAAAUAAAACCGGCUCAGCCGAGGUGUGUUUUCAGCAAUGAAGCUGCCAUCGAAAGAAAUCUCUAACAACACAUCACUGUUCUUUGACCACACAUACAAAAAACAGAGCUGCUUCCCUGUGCACAGCAUUGUGUACUGUACUUGGCUAUAAAAGCCGUUACUUCCAGUCUU